rnacentral:lncRNA from 1 species
AUGUCUGCUACAGCAGAGCCUGCAGUAAGCCACUAACCUACAGAUUUAUGCAUUACUUUCUCACGGAUUAUUUAACAAAUAAAAAGAAAACUGCAAAACAUUCCUGUGCCGUUGUACUGGUAUUGAGGUCAGAUCUCAUUGUUGAUCGCUGUAUUUCAGUUCAUUUGCUAUUGGGUCAUCAAUGAACUGAACUUCAAGGGACCAAAGUUAAUUUCUUUACAAUUGAUAUACUUUGGCUAGGCUGAUGUCUGAUCCAAUUAUCAGCCAAAUGCUGAUGUGGCUUUUCUUACCAGUGCACAAAAUGCUAUUAUAAAAAAGAAGGGGGGGGAGGGAGGGAGGGGUAAAGGCAAGGAAGGCCAACUUUGUGGGAGAGACGCGAUACCCCCAACCAUUUCACAGAAAGCGUGACCUGAGUCCUGACCCUUGCCAUUGAUUGGUCAAGGGUCACUAAUCUUUGCAUGAGAGAGUGAGGUCCAGCGACCACUUCCCCCACCCCUUGUACUCUCUCUCUCUCUCCCCUCCCCGCCUCCUCUGUUGUCCUUCUCUUUUCUUUCCUUCUUUUUUCUUCUCCUACUUCUCUCUUCUCUCUCUCUUCCUCUCCCUUCUUUCUUCUUCCUUACCUUCCUUUCUCUCUUCUCUCCCCUUUUCCUUCUUUCUUCUUUUCCCUUUCUCCCCUUUUUUCCUUCCCUCUUUUCNNNNNNNNNNNNNNNNNNNNNNNNNNNNNNNNNNNNNNNNNNNNNNNNNNNNNNNNNNNNNNNNNNNNNNNNNNNNNNNNNNNNNNNNNNNNNNNNNNNNCGUUGCGCUAGGCGACCUUUUUUUCUGAAUAAACGGGCCGGUCAAGAUCUCUUUUCCUCCUCUCUUUUUGCCUCCUUUUUUUUUUUUUUUCAAUACUUUUUCCCCCCCCCCCCCCCCCCCCCCCCCCCCCCUCUUCCCUCUCUCCUUUUUCUUCCUUUCUGGUUUUCCCUUAUUUUCGAAAGUAUUGCUACCACAUGUACAACCUGAAAAAGCUACAUCAACAUUUUAUCUAUGGAAAUCCAGGCAAAUUAAAUCAAUUGUAUGUAUAACGCCGAUCAAAAUCACAAUUCGAUUAUCCAAUUGAAAAAUGGACCAAAGUAAAGUGAUCCCUGAAAAUAUUUAACACAAAUUGAGAUACUAGUUGUGAAUCAAGAUAUUACAAUGAAUCAUGUCCAAUUUUCAAUGUCUGGCAAAGGAGACUAAACUUAUAUUCUGUGCCUCAGAGCAACAAAAUUAAACCUGUUGCAAAAUAACAUGCUUUGAGUGAUGUAAAGUGAUUUAAUACCACAACACCUGGGCUGAUGCUGCAGCACCAAGGGAUUGACUUGACAAUUAAGACAGGCAAGUUUGGACUUCUCGCCCCUACACCUUUUCAAUCUUUACUGUCACUAGGGUGUAUGGAAAUUGGAAAUGGGCUAACCCCGAAGAGGUUUCAAAGGUGCGCAGGCCUAUGAAGAAAUGGAUUUCCUCCACAUGAGCCAAAACAAGGUGAUUACAUGAUAAAGACAAGGAAGAAUGCCACUCACACUUAAUAUCAUAGUCUAGAAAAUAUUGCCAUAUACAGACUCAAACCAGUUAUAUCAUUUGUAUGUGCUCCAACCACAAAAUCAUCAUAAAACGGGGAUAUAAAAAUAGCUUAUAUUGUGGCAGAACUAUCAUUCCACAUAGUGGAUUCCUUUUACUUUUGACUUGAAGCAUCUGAAAUAUGUCAGUUUGGUAAAAAGUGGAGAACAAAAAAGGUUAUGGGAAAUUCAUGCUGCAUAAAUUCACCAGUUGCUCAGCGUUAUACAUUGGCUUGCAACUCUCGGUGUAUACACAUAUUUUUAAGUUAGUGAUUAGUAUUAGAAAUUCAUGAGUGAGGGUUAACUUUUUAUUUUUCACAUACUUUUGUUUACGUUUUCUACUUGGCCUGCUUUUUAUUUCCAAAAAAAAGCUUAAUUUUGAAUUUUAGUUGAUGUAUUUUUUAUUUGUCUUAAUUGCUCUUUCAUCCUUUCAGUUAUAUCUUUUAAUGUAACUCAAUUUAUAAGAAGUCUCUUCAUGUUUUGUUCUUUCUAAGAGACUUUUCAUUAGUAAGAGUAAUUUAAAGAAAAAGUCCAACUUAAAAUUUUGUUAUUUUUUAGAAUAAACAUCCCUAGAUUCUUUAAAUGCCCUCUAAUUCUAAAGUGCAUAGAUGGUUAGUUACAAAUUGUAAUUAUAUAUAUAUGUAUUCAUACUAUUUAGGUCUCCAAUAAAGUUGAAUUGGAUUAUCAAAAUUGAAAAAUUUAGUGCAUAUUAGCUGGGGCUUCAAACAAUCACCCUUUGGUUUUCCACCCAAAAAGUAUUUACUUAGCAUUUUAAAUUAUUAUGGACCAAUGAAAAUGAAUCAAAAUGUCAAUAUUCUGUAUGUUUCUGAUGUCCCAUGUAUCAAAUCACCCCAAACACCCGCUUAGAAUCUUACUAUGUGCCUAUAAUAUCAGAAGAAGUCAAGACAAUCCAUAAACUUUUCAUUCCUCAAUUGUCACAAGAGGUAGAGGUAUUAAUGCAUUGAAAGAGGAAGUACCUUCCGAUUUGCCUAAUGGUUACGCCUUUGAUUUACGAAGCUUCAUUAGUUUAUCUCUCCACAAGGCUGCAAAAGUUAACAGUCAAGAACAAGUAAUCAAGAGAGAACUAUUCGUGAAGUUGAUAAUGAAUUACUGUAAAACAAGGAAACUCAAGCUUGAUGAAGAAAAGCUUUGUGAGAAAUAAGCAUGAAAAUAAACUCCCUUCAAAUGUACCUGCAUCAUUGUAUCGUUCCUCUUUGAUAGCUAGAUUCAUGUUUUUGACUAUAUCAAGUUCUUCAGCCAGUGCAUCUGGACCGUCUGAAGCACUGAAUGAGAUGUAAAUUAUGCUUAGAUGAAGAAAUUUCAUGUAUGUUUGCAUACUUUGAGUUUUCUACAUCACUAGACAAAACUUAUGCUCGUAAAUUCAGGUACCUGUCAAGUAAGACAUCAUAGACUGGUUUUCUGUCACGCGUUCUCCCUGUUCCAUAGCUAAAUCCGAUAGCAUCUCUGAGGACAAUUUGCUUAUUUACAUAUAUUGGCACCUGCAGAACACAGCUCUCUAUCAGGAACAAAGCCCAAAUAACGAAAUAAAGGAAGACAUUGUCUAAACCUAAAAAGAGGCAAAAUGUGGUCGGUGAUGAUGGAUACAGAUGACUUGAACCACAUAAUUGACAAGAAACCAAAGCAGAAGUUCUUUUUAAAAGAUAUCUAUAAAACAAGCCAAAAGAAAAAAGGAAAACAAAAGAAAGCUCAGUUGAUAAUUUCAGAACUAUACUGGCAAAGACAUCAACACCACAAAUUUAUAUGAGAUCAAUCCAUUGAGCAAUUUCCCCUUUCUCAUUUGCCCUUUAAGUUUACCAUAAAAAGGAACUUGGAUCUAACCAGACCUAGUGGUACAAGCAUGUAUCUACAAAACUUCAGAGGUCAGGUUUGAGGGGGUUUCAUUAUUCAAUAUUUGCAGAACAAAUUGACACUUGCAAGUAGGUGAGACACAUAAUACAAACCUUGCACCUAUAAGCCACAUUUAUGGCAUCUGAUGGACGAACAUCUACACUUAGGACAUCAUCUUUCCCUGACUGCAGAAAAGGAAAUGCUUUGUUGCACCAUUAAAUAAUGAACCAUAAGGCUGAUGACUUCUAGAAUUUAGCAUUUUGUGCAAGCAACGAGCUUUAAUUACCUUGCUGAAAUACAAUCUGGCAAAGUAAGUGUUUGCCACUCUUUGUGUGAUCCUUACCAUCUUUAUCUGCAAAGAAGGGAAACGAGAUUCAUCUAUUAUAACCUUUAACUACAUCUCUGGAUGAGUAAUGUUAGAAACGCAAAGAAGUCGAUUUGCAACAGAAAGCUAAUGCUAGAAACGCAGAUGGGAGAGUAGCAAUAGAAAGGUUUUACCAACAUAUUUAGUGUUCAAACAAAAUAUAAAAGCUAAUUGAAAGUUUCUAAUCUAGAUUUCUUACAUUGCUCUAGUGUAUUCUUUAAACAUCAUUUACACAAACUGAAUCGAUGUUUCAUAUGCCUCAAUUCCAUGGAGACCAAAUCACACUUCUAUUUGAGAACCAAUCUUCCUAACAACACACUUCAGAAUUAUGGUAUAGAGCAUGGUACUAGAUUAAUAACUCAAUCAACUGACUAUAUGAAGCUUUGUGCAUACAUUAUACUCUAAUAACAGCAACAACAUCAAGCCAAUGCCAUUUGCAGCACAGUAGUGAUGGGACUAUUUGAGGGUAUAUGUUGAAUUUUUUAAGGCUCAGUUCUUCAUAUUAACCUAAUUUGAACGUCAAAGCAAGCAGUGUGUGCUAAUAAGAUUAAAAACAGCAUAUGUUUGAGACAAAACAACUUGAUAGAUUCUAUUAUCAUAACAAAAUAUAGUAUAUCAAUGUGUUUUCCAGUCAAUGAUAUAAAAUGGAGUUAAAUGAAACAGUGAAGUACAGGGUGUCAGUUUUCGGUAAAUCUCAGUGUAUCUUUCUGCGUACUCCAUCUAAGACUUCAAAAUACCCAAACGCUUGCUUAUCCCAUCAUAGGGUUUACAUAAAGCUAGCAACACACAAUUAAGCCUCAACCAGUUCCUAAAAGUGAAAUCUUUGAACGUACUUCAAAACCAACUUUGUCUGUAAGAUCCUUCACAAAAUCAAAUUGAUCUGCACAGUCCUGCAUAAGACCAUAGAACAUUUAGAUUAAAGGAAAUAUAACAUUCACUAAAAGCCACAAAUAAUUAAUUACCCCAUCUUCACCACUGCGAAGGGCAUCAAUUAGUUUUUCAAUUGCAAAUUCUCCUAAAGAAACAAAAGAAAUUAGCAACACAUCAGUCCAGAAGCUCUAGAAAACAAGACAAAAGACAGGAGAAAAGUUCGCAGGAAACUAUUCAUAUACCUACAACAAUGGGUAGCAGGAAAUCUCCAUCACAAACAAUCUUAAGAAAAAUUGUAGGACUCUGAAAUCGGUGAAGGAAACCUUGAUCUACACUAGGACCCCUUGCUUUAACUGCAAAUGGAUGCAAUUGGCUUGAUAAUUGACUCCUCACAUCUACUUGAUAUCCUCUCCUCCGCAUACGGUAGUGAGAAACGGUUUCUGCCCCAGAAGUAUUCAGAAUCAACCAACACAUAUAAAGCUUCAUCAAUGCAUAAUUCUAGAUACAUUUAUGACAUGUGCUCUAAAACUGGAUAUAGUGUAAAGAGCUCCAGUGAGAAGGUUAUCCAAAUUCCAAAAGCAGCUAGUCCAAAAUAUCCUUUUUGAUACAUUGAUAACUUUUGUUUUAUGAUCAUUGCCAUCAUCAGAAGAAGUAUACCGAAUUAUAACCGCAUCAUUACAAGUUAUGAGAAGUUUUAAGUAAAUCUGAACUAAGCAGAAAAGUAUAAUGCUCGAGAUUGUGGUACAUAGGUAUCUCCUGUUCAAGCUCCUCAAUAGGGAGUAUUAACUUUAAGUACAGAUGAAUCGAUUACUUCACCAGACUUGUUCAUGAAAAUCUAACGGUUCCCAUCAAGAAAAAGCCAAUUAAAAGAUGGAAGCCACACAUUUUGAUCGGAAGCAGGAAGACAAUGUCUCAAGCCUGGAUCACUUGGUCCUGAAUGACCAUACCCAGGAAUAACACGAUAUCCAUACAAAAAUGUGGAGAUGUAAAUGUAGAAUCUAACCUACUUAGUACAACGUUAAAUUAGAACAUGUAGCUAAACUCUUAGAGUAAGUUUUUUUUUGGUAAAGAACUCUUAGAGUAAGUUGUGGAGAAAGAAAUCAAAUAAUUUCUGACACACUCCAUGUCAUGUUACGAGCCAAUUGAAUGGGAGAAAUUCAACCUGCAGAAUAAAGCAAACUGAAAAAAUGUCCAGUUCAUCAACGCAUCUUGCUGCUGGCAAUCGAAUAAGCAGACAUCAUAUGCAGAAAUAACGAACAGCAAAAAUGGAACAUAAGAAAUUCAAAUACCAAAGACAGGAACCAUCUAAUGUUGAACAGAGAAAAGCUACUCUCCCAUACUGUCAUUCUUUUAUUUACGUCACGACAUAAAAAAAACUUUUCAUUGGCCGACAAGUCCCUCAAUCAUCGUGGGAAACCAAUGUCGUAACAUCAUCUUAGCACUCCCCGCCGUUUGCCAAUUUCCACCACAUUACUCAAUAACUCAAUCAAGGACAGUUCCGAAUCAGACUCUCGGCAAAUGGCCAGGUCGAAUUAAGCUCAAUCCGAGACGACGCUCGCAUUCCAACAGUUCAAAAUCGUGCAUACCCGCAGCCAACGAGUCUCAGCACGAUCAAGGCAUUCCCCCAAUUUUCAUCACGUAGUACGUAGGUCUCACGAUUCAGGAACACUGCUGCCUACACAAACGCACGUAAUCCGAAACCAACGAGAACACCGGCACACGGACGGCGGCAAACGCGAUACCUGCGAGGAGGAGAGAGGCCUGGAGGUAGUCGCCGUCGUCGUCGCCGUAGCCGUAGCCGUCGCCGUCGUCGGGGCAGCUCGAUCCGCCGCCGGGGCUCCCGCGGGACGACCUGCACGAAACGGGCCGGGACUUGACGCCGCCGCCGCCGCGGCACCGACUCCUCCCUCCCCGCGGCCGGACCGACGCGCGGAGGGGAGAGGAAGUACAUGGAGCCGCGAUCGUCAGCCGGCCGGCGCGCGACUGCUCGGCGGCGCCGUGGCCGGAGAUCGCGCGGACGCACGGAUGAGCCGCGAGCAUUGUAGAGAGAGAGAGAGAGAGAGAGAGGUGACGGAGUGGUAGUGAGGAAGGUAGGUGGUGA